UUUGAAAUCUGGCCCUCGGGUCCGAGUUGUAAUUUGUAGAGGAUGCUUUUGGUGCGGUGCCUUCCGAGUUCCCUGGAACGGGACGCCAUAGAGGGUGAGAGCCCCGUCUGGUUGGACGCCAAUCCUCUGUAAAGCUCCUUCGACGAGUCGAGUAGUUUGGGAAUGCUGCUCUAAAUGGGAGGUAUAUGUCUUCUAAAGCUAAAUAUUGGCCAGAGACCGAUAGCGCACAAGUAGAGUGAUCGAAAGAUGAAAAGCACUUUGAAAAGAGAGUUAAAAAGUACGUGAAAUUGUUGAAAGGGAAGCGCUCAUGACCAGACUUGGGCUUGGUAGAUCAACCUGGGUUCUCCCUGGUGCACUCUUCCUCGUUCAGGCCAGCAUCAGUUCGCUGCGGGGGAUAAAGGUUUCGGGAAUGUGGCUCCCUCGGGAGUGUUAUAGCCCGUUGCGUAAUACCCUGCGGUGGACUGAGGUUCGCGUUCUGCAAGGAUGCUGGCGUAAUGGUCAUCAGUGACCCGUCUUGAAACACGGACCAAGGAGUCGUCUUCGUAUGCGAGUGUUCGGGUGUUAAACCCCUACGCGUAAUGAAAGUGAACGCAGGUGAGAGCUUCGGCGCAUCAUCGACCGAUCCUGAUGUUCUCGGAUGGAUUUGAGUAAGAGCAUACGGGGCCGGACCCGAAAGAAGGUGAACUAUGCCUGUAUAGGGUGAAGCCAGAGGAAACUCUGGUGGAGGCUCGCAGCGGUUCUGACGUGCAAAUCGAUCGUCAAAUAUGGGCAUGGGGGCGAAAGACUAAUCGAACCUUCUAGUAGCUGGUUUCCGCCGAAGUUCCCUCAGGA
rnacentral:rRNA from 1 species